GCGCAGCAGGCGAGAAAACUUUACAAUGUGCGAAAGCACGAUAAGGGAACUCUGAGUGCCUCCUAAGGAGGCGUGUUCAGGUGUCUAAAAAGCACCUGAAGGAAGGGGCUGGGUAAGACCGGUGCCAGCCGCCGCGGUAACACCGGCGAGCCCAAGUGGUAGCCACGUUUAUUGGGUCUAAAGCGUCCGUAGCCGGCUGGGGUAAGUUCCUUGGGAAAUUUGGCUGCUUAACAGUCAAGCUUUCAGGGAAUACUGCCCGGCUUGGGACCGGGAGAGGUCAGAGGUACUCCAGGGGUA
rnacentral:rRNA from 1 species